ACCAAUCUGCUACCUCACGACGUAAUCUCGACCUGCUACUUCUCUCAAAGCCCUCGCCACCUCCUGCCUCCACCGUCCUUGCUGUCGCCGCCUCCAUCCCUUGGAUCGGCGAUGGUUUUGCGGUCGUUCAUCGACGCGGGUUAGAGUCAAUCGGCGUCGUUUUGGAUGGAGACGCAGCUAGAUUGAGUGAGGAGGGUCGAGAUGAUGGCGUUGGAGACGGCGAAGACGCCAGGAGAUUAGCGAAACGACGUUGCAUAGUUCCUGAAUGCGAAGGGUUUUCGAGACUGUAGCUUUGAAGAGCGUUGCUUCCACCGUGUAAAUCAUGAUGUGGAGACUCCAGGUGAACAAUGUAUUGUUAGAGGGAACACCCAUCAGUUCCCCUUUCAGCUCUCUGGAAGAGCGAAUUGGCGAAUGAGAAAACUAAGAACCGGAGAUGGUAGAGGCUAGCGAGAACAAGAAAGGAGAGGAUCUCAUGCUACUAAAAAUCGAAUGCCAAAGGGUGGUGGGAGAUGGAGUGUGUACAUACUCUGUUUUUUUAAGGAUCAGGAGGUAUUCGCCGACUGAAAUUGAAGGCAUACACAAGAAUAUAUACGAGAUGGCAUUGACUGGGCUAAAGUUGAAUUAUACCUGUACCCUUCCUUGGAUGCUGUCAUUUCGGUUCAAACUGAUUUACGGAAGGCACACUUCCAUUAGCAAUGGAUUCACUCUUCUCCUUAUCUCUCUAUGUGGAUAAUGAUGUCUUAUGCUUGAUUGUGUUGUGUUUAUUAGGGUUUCAUUUCGAUUACAUUUCAAAUUUGUUGUUUUGUAUUUGAUUUAGGUUUGAAAUUGAUAUCGUUAACUUAUAAUUUUUAUUUCAGAUCUUUCUCUCUUUGAAUGCUGCAAUUUAAUAUUUGGAUUUGUGGGAGAUGGUGAUUCCGGUGUUGUGUUGCAGGUUUUGGAUGCAUGUGUCGAUCAUAAGAUGCGUUCAGUCUCUCAUACAAUACUUUCUUGAUUCUUCACUCUACUCCACCCUCACAACAUCGAUUCUCAGAAUUGAAGGGAAUAUGAAGAACACCUCUGUCCAAGCAUAGUUGCCUAUGCUACAGUCCCCGAAAAAGAAGCAGGUAGCUUGUACCAUCCACUUCACAAGUGACAAGAAGAACCAAAUUAACACCAUCUUCUUUUAAUGUGACAAAGUAAUGUGAGAAAGUCUUGAUUUGAUCAUUUAUGUGAAUGACAACUUCAAAGGCCAUCUCUGUUUCUUAAUUGAACACCAAGGUGGACAUGUGCUUCAAUGUUAAAAAUGCAUAUGGGCUAAGUGACGGAGUCAGAGAGAAGAUUAUACAAAUGCAUGAUAAAAACCAUAUCAAGAUGGAUGAGGAGCUUGAGAUUUCUUCCACCAGAACUAGAAAGCAGAAGUUUGUCUUCUCACAUUUGUUGUCUGCUUCCUUCUAUAUUGACCUCAGGUGAGCGUUGUUGGCUUCGUUGAUCACGGCGAAUGUAGCCUGGCUGUGACCACCAUUCACGUGGAGAGCAUUCAACCUCCUUCCUCUGAUGCCCUGGCCAUGUUGGUCGCUGGAACCUUAUUGGGAACCUCUGCCUCCCAUACUGUACGUUGCGUGUAUGACCUGUCGAGGUAUGCCCCAGUCGCUGCCAUUGCCACCAUGAUCGGGGCUUCCAAACGUUACUUCUCUCUCUAGUCCCUCUCUCUCUCAUCCCUCAUGUACCGAGGAUAGUAGAGCUUCUCGCGAGGGUUAGUUGGAGGAGCUAGUCUUUCAUUUAUGGUUUAGUUAGGGGAGUCAUGAUCGGUUAUGUAACACGGGGAAACGUUUUGUUUUGUACCUUGAUGUUAAGAGUUAUUUUAUAAGCUCUCUUUAUUUAUUUUUGGAUUAUGUUUUAUUUUGGGAGUUGAAAUAAAUCCGUUGUGCUAUGCAUAUGAUGUUGAGACAUCAAAGU